rnacentral:snRNA from 1 species
GUACUUGCUUCAGCAGCACAUAUACUAAAAAAUUGUAAUGAUACAAAGAAGAUUAGCAUAGCCGCUGUGCAAGGAAAAUGUGCAAAUUCAUGAAGCAUUCCAUAUUUAA